rnacentral:rRNA from 1 species
AAAUCAAGCGCGAAAAGGGCGUUUGGUGAAUGCCUUGGCAGUAAGAGGCGAUGAAAGACGUGAUACUCUGCGAUAAGCCAUGGGGAGCUGAGAAUAAGCUUUGAUCCAUGGAUUUCUGAAUGGGGCAACCCACCUGAUACUUUGUUAUUACUACCCUUCGGGGUAGCUAAUAACUUGGUAAACCAGGUAUUUUUAGGCUGAAUAUAUAGGCUUAAAAAAGCAAACCCGGGGAACUGAAACAUCUAAGUACCCGGAGGAAAGGAAAUCAAUAUGAUACUCCCCUAGUAGCGGCGAGCGAACGGGGACCAGCCGAGCCAUGAGUGUGGUUAGAAUGCGUUGGAAUGCGCAACCAAAGUGGGUGAUAGUCCCGUAUAAGAAGCAUGAUUGGACGUAUUAAGUAGGGCGGAACACGUGAAAUUCUGUCUGAAGAUCGGAGGACCACCUUCGAAGGCUAAGUACUCCUUACUGACCGAUAGUGAACCAGUACCGUGAGGGAAAGGUGAAAAGCACCCCGACGAGGGGAGUGAAACAGUACCUGAAACCGAACGCCUACAAACAGUUGGAGGGACCUUGCGUCCUGACAGCGUACCUUUUGUAUAAUGGGUCAUCGACUUGGUCUCACGAGCAAGCUUAAGCCGUUAGGUGUAGGCGUAGCGAAAGCGAGUCUUAAUAGGGCGUUGAGUUCGUGGGAUCAGACCCGAAACCGAGUGAUCUAGGCAUGGCCAGGUUGAAGAUAAGGUAACACUUAUUGGAGGACCGAACCCACAUCUGUUGAAAAAGAUCGGGAUGAGCUGUGCCUAGGGGUGAAAGGCCAAUCAAACUCGGAGAUAGCUGGUUCUCUGCGAAAUCUAUUUAGGUAGAGCGUCGACCGAAUACCCUCGGGGGUAGAGCACUGGAUGGGUAAUGGGGCCCCACAGGCUUACUGAUCCUAACCAAACUCCGAAUACCGAGGAGUACUAGUCGGCAGACACACGGCGAAUGCUAACGUCCGUCGUGAAGAGGGAAACAACCCUAACCUCCAGCUAAGGCCCCUAAUUCAUGGCUAAGUGGGAAAGCAGGUGAGACGACCAAAACAACCAGGAGGUUGGCUUAGAAGCAGCCAUCCUUUAAAGAUAGCGUAACAGCUCACUGGUCUAAAUAAGUUGUCUUGCGGCGAAGAUGUAACGGGGCUCAAGCCAUGAGCCGAAGCUGAGGAUGCAUUUAUUGCAUGGUAGCAGAGCGUAGUGUGACAUAGUUCCAUGUGUCCUUAUCGUCCUUCGGGACGUAUUGGACACAAGGAGCUUUCUGUGAAGCUGGCGCGUGAGCGAUCCGGUGGAGAGAUCACUAGUGAGAAUGAUGACAUGAGUAGCGACAAAGAGUGUGAGAGACACUCUCGCCGAAAGUCCAAGGGUUCCUGCUUAAAGCUAAUCUGAGCAGGGUAAGCCGACCCCUAAGGCGAGGCCGAAAGGCGUAGUCGAUGGGAACCAGGUUAAUAUUCCUGGGCCAGAUGGAAGUGACGGAUCUCGAGGGUAGUUCAUCCUUAUCGGAUUGAAUGGGCUGCUUAGAGGUCCCUGGAAAUAGCUCCAUCGCUAGAUCGUACCCUAAACCGACACAGGUGGACAGGUAGAGAAUACCAAGGCGCUUGAGAGAACUAUGUUGAAGGAACUCGGCAAAAUACCUCCGUAAGUUCGCGAGAAGGAGGCCCGGUUUCUAGGCAACUA